CCCAUUUAACUAGAUCUCUGCAGAAAGGACAACAGCAUAAAAACUAGCAAUCUAACAUUUGAAGGCUGUAGAAAUCUACAUGUAUGUGCCAAACAAUUUCUAGAGGAAGCAGAGCUUAAAUAUGUAUCUUACAGGUGGGAAGGUAUUGUGUAUUGCCAAACUUCCCAUAUUUCAUCUAUUGCAGUGCUUAAAUGUUUAAUUCCGGUUUGACAGAGGAUGCCAUAUCUAUUUUUGCUGCUUCACGACAAAGAAGAUGCACAUUCAUUUGAACAGUUAUAAAAUCAUGGAUCAUGUUAUGACUAAUCACUAACAUCUUAUGUUAUACAUAAUGUCAAAGUUAAAUAUAUUUGGUGAAGAUUGACAAUAAUAUACAUAUUUUAUAUAAAUCACCAAUAUAAAUGAAGUGACACUUUAUCUGGAUAUUCGACAUUGAUUAUUUAAUUAUUUGUCUGUAACAAUAUAAAAGAUUUAGUAAUGUUUCAUAUAAUAAAAAAGUAAGCCUGAGCAUGUUUUCUUAAAUUUUAUAAUUUCAUUUUAGUAAUGCACUUUCAUAUAGUUAAGAAAUAACAUAUCCCAAACAGUGAUUUUAUCAACUGACAUCAACAAAUUAAUGCUGCUUUACCUGAAUAUUA